GAUGAAGAACGUAGCGAAAUGCGAUAAGUAGUGUGAAUUGCAGAAUUCAGUGAGUCAUCGAAUCUUUGAACGCACAUUGCGCCCUUUGGUAUUCCGAAGGGCAUGCCUGUUCGAGCGUCAUUAUCACCCCUCAAGCCCCGGCUUGGUGUUGGGCUCUCGGUGGUCGUCUCCGACCACCCGUCUCAAAGAUAGUGACGGCGUCCCAGAGGGAAUCGGUACGAGGAGCUUUCACGAGCAUGUACGCGGGACGACUCUGCGGGCGACGGUCUUAUUUACUUUAUAUACAAGUGUUGACCUCGGAUCAGGUAGGAAUACCCGCUGAUCUUAAGCAUAUCAAUAAGCGGAGGA
rnacentral:misc_RNA from 1 species